rnacentral:rRNA from 1 species
CCUACGGGUGGCAGCAGUGGGGAAUAUUGGACAAUGGGCGCAAGCCUGACCCAGCAACGCCGCGUGAGUGAAGAAGUCUUUCGGGUUGUAAACUUCUUUUCUGAGGGACGAAGGAAGUGACAGUACCUCAGGAAUAAGCCACGGCUAACUUCGUGCCAGCAGCCGCGGUAAUACGUGGGUGGCAAGCGUUAUCCUGAUUUGUUGGGUGUAGAGGGGGUGUAGGCGGGAAAGCAAGGCAGAGGUGAAACCUCAGGGCUCAACCCUGGGACUGCAUUUGAAACUGCUUUUCUUGAGUGCUGGAGAGGUAAUCGGAAUUCCGGGUGUAGCGGUGAAAUGCGUAGAUAUACGGAGGAACACCAGUGGCGAAGGCGGAUUGCUGGACAGUAACUGACGUUGAGGCGCGAAGGCGUGGGGAGCAAACAGGAUUAGAUACCCUUGUAGUC